UACAGAGGUCCCAAGCGUUACUGAGAAUCACUGGGUUUAAAGGGUGCGUAGGUGGUCCGUUAAGUCAGUUGUGAAAUCCCCGGGCUCAACCCGGGAACUGCUUCUGAUACUGGCGGACUUGAGGCCAGUAGAGGUCACUGGAACUGACGGUGGAGCGGUGAAAUGCGUAGAGAUGCGGAGGAACACCGGUGGCGAAGGCGGGACUCUGGGCCGAUACUGACGCUGAGGAGCGAAAGCGUGGGGAGCAAACAGGG
rnacentral:rRNA from 1 species